rnacentral:rRNA from 1 species
GAUGAACGCUAGCGGCAGGCUUAAUACAUGCAAGUCGAGGGGCAGCACGAACAGCAAUAUUUGGUGGCGACCGGCGCACGGGUGCGUAACACGUAUACAAUCUACCUUCAACAGGGGGAUAGCCUUUCGAAAGAGAGAUUAAUACCCCGUAACAUAUUUAGUGGCAUCAUUAGAUAUUGAAAGCUCCGGCGGUUGAAGAUGAGUAUGCGUCUGAUUAGCUAGUUGGUGAGGUAACGGCUCACCAAGGCAACGAUCAGUAGGGGAUCUGAGAGGACUAACCCCCACACUGGUACUGAGACACGGACCAGACUCCUACGGGAGGCAGCAGUAAGGAAUAUUGGUCAAUGGAGGCAACUCUGAACCAGCCAUGCCGCGUGCAGGAUGACGGCCCUAUGGGUUGUAAACUGCUUUUAUACAAGAGAAAACCUCAGUACGUGUACUGAGCUGAUAGUAUUGUAAGAAUAAGCAUCGGCUAACUUCGU